rfam:Myotis davidii contig36217, whole genome shotgun sequence.
GGUGGUUCUCAGGUGACACACCCUGGAAUCAGGCUCCUUCCUCUCUGGUUCUAGGUGCAUCACCCAAGAAUCGCA